AUGGUUCGCAAGAAGGUGCCCCUCCGGUACAUCGGCGAGGACUCCACCCGUCGUCGUACCUACGAGACACGUCGCAACUACCUAACGAAGAAGGUGGGCGAGCUAGGCAUCCUAUGCAACACCAAGGCAUGCGUUCUGGUGUAUGACGAGGGCGCAUCGGAGCCGUAUGUUUACCCGUCCCAUGCCGAGGCGGUGGAAAUCCUGAAUCGGUACAAGGCCAUGCCGAACAUGCCACAGUUCAAGAAGACGACGAGCCAGGAGGAGUUCCUCACCAAGUGCCUCGCCAAGCUCCAGCACCAGGCCAACAAGCUCCAAAGCGAGCGUGAGGACCGUGACAUCAGGGCCCUCCUGCACAAGGCCAUGCUCGGUGGCAACCUUAACGCCGAGGAGGUCGCAAGUGUUGGCUGUACGUCGGGGGAGAUCCACCAGAGCCUCGUUGAGCGCAUCGCUAAAACCAACCCGCAGCUGCCGGUCUUCCAGCCCCAAGUACCAUACGUCACCGGCGGCGUCAACAUGGGGCCUCCGUCGAUGUAUCAAGCGUCGUCGCAGCAGCAGGCGGGCGGGCAGCCAUCGUUCUUCCAGCCCCAGGCGCCAUACAUCACCGGUAGAGCCAACAUGGGGCCUUCGUCGAUGAAUCAAGCGUCGCCGCAGCAGCAGGCGUGCGGGCAGCCACCGCUUUUCCAGCCCCAGGCGCAGUAUCAAGCGCCGCCGCCGCAGCAGGCGGGCAGGCAGCUAUCGGUCUUCCAGCCCCAGGCGCCAUACAUCGCUGGCAGCGCCGACAUGGGGCCUCCGGCGAUGUAUCAGGCGCCGCCGCACCAGCAGGAGGGCUGGAAGCCACCAGUCUUCCAGCCCCAGGCGCAGUACGUCACCGGCAGCGUCGACAUGGGGCCUCCGCGGAUGUAUCAGGCAUUGCAGCAGCAGGAGGGCUGGCGUAACUUGGUGAGAUCCGACGAGGACCAUAGCGCCCUGGUCUAUAAUGGAAAUGGCUACAGUACUGGUGGCCACGACGGCGUCGGCACCAGCUCGAGCGCCAGCUUCCCCCUCGAUGAUAUGAUGUCAUUCUUGGACGAUAUGGAGUUCGAGUUGUCGUGA
rnacentral:rRNA from 1 species